AUUGAACGCUGGCGGCAUGCCUUACACAUGCAAGUCGAACGGUAACGGGCCUUCGGGUGCCGACGAGUGGCGAACGGGUGAGUAAUACAUCGGAACGUGCCCGAUCGUGGGGGAUAACGAGGCGAAAGCUUUGCCAAUACCGCAUACGAUCUACGGAUGAAAGCAGGGGACCGCAAGGCCUUGCGCGGACGGAGCGGCCGAUGGCAGAUUAGGUAGUUGGUGGGGUAAAAGCUUACCAAGCCGACGAUCUGUAGCUGGUCUGAGAGGAUGAUCAGCCACACUGGGACUGAGACACGGCCCAGACUCCUACGGGAGGCAGCAGUGGGGAAUUUUGGACAAUGGGCGCAAGCCUGAUCCAGCCAUGCCGCGUGCAGGAUGAAGGCCUUCGGGUUGUAAACUGCUUUUGUACGGAACGAAAAGCCUUCUUUUAAUACAGGGGGGUCAUGACGGUACCGUAAGAAUAAGCACCGGCUAACUACGUG
rnacentral:rRNA from 1 species